GGAUAUGAGGGCAAUCUGACUGUAACAUCUGUUACCCCAUUGACUGCCAGGGUUGAUCUGGCUGGCUAGGUGGGUGUCCCCUUCCUCCCUCACCACUCUGUGUGCAUGUUUCCCAAAGCUGUGCACACUCAGACGAAGAGGAAAACCUUCCCCCAAAGAGAGACAGACUGGUCUAGGGUCAAGGGUCUAUAAGUAGCUGCACUGCCCUGCUAGGACCUCCAAACAAGCUCCCUUAGAGCCGCCUCCCUCCUCCUCUCUCUUCC
rnacentral:snRNA from 1 species